CAGCACCUCAAGUGGUCAGGAUGAUUAUUGGGCCUAAAGCAUCCGUAGCCGGCGCUGUAAGUUUUCGGUUAAAUCUGUACGCUCAACGUACAGGCUGCCGGGAAUACUGCAGCGCUAGGGAGUGGGAGAGGUAGACGGUACUCGGUAGGAAGGGGUAAAAUCCUUUGAUCUAUUGAUGACCACCUGUGGCGAAGGCGGUCUACCAGAACACGUCCGACGGUGAGGUAUGAAAGCUGGGGGAGCAAACCGGAUUAGAUACCCGAGUAGUCC
rnacentral:rRNA from 1 species